rnacentral:rRNA from 1 species
GUGGGGAAUAUUGGACAAUGGGCGAAAGCCUGAUCCAGCCAUGCCGCGUAUGUGAAGAAGGUCUUCGGAUUGUAAAGCACUUUAAGUUGGGAGGAAGGGCAGUAAGUUAAUACCUUGCUGUUUUGACGUUACCAACAGAAUAAGCACCGGCUAACUUCGUGCCAGCAGCCGCGGUAAUACGAAGGGUGCAAGCGUUAAUCGGAAUUACUGGGCGUAAAGCGCGCGUAGGUGGUUCAGCAAGUUGGAGGUGAAAUCCCCGGGCUCAACCUGGGAACUGCCUCCAAAACUACUGAGCUAGAGUACGGUAGAGGGUAGUGGAAUUUCCUGUGUAGCGGUGAAAUGCGUAGAUAUAGGAAGGAACACCAGUGGCGAAGGCGACUACCUGGACUGAUACUGACACUGAGGUGCGAAAGCGUGGGGAGCAAACAGGAUUAGAAACCCGGGUAGUCC